CUGUAGUCAGCCAGAAACAUGCAGGAUCUCAGGCCCACACUCAGUUACUUAAAUAACAAACCUUUAUUAUAACACAAAGCUUUAUUAUAAUAGCAAAACACAAAGUUCAGCCUGCAGAUGACUGAAUUAUUUUGCCCUCUGACACAUUACAGCAGUGGAAUUAGAUCAUCCAUGCAUUUGUUUUUUGCAUUAUAUAAAUAAACCAAUAUUAAUAAAAACAUUUCUAGAUUGUGCAAAAAUGCUGCUGUGGAACAGAAUCAGACUACAGCAGUCAACAUUCACAUGCAGUCUGACUAUGAAGCUAAUUAAUAUUAAUUAUGUGAAUGAAGUGAAUCAUCAGGUGGGCAGAAUGAGUGUGCAGGCCUGUUGAUCCGUUUACAUUUUAAUGCCAGGAGGAGAUACCUAGGAGUCCAGAGCAGCCAAACUGCUCACAUAAUGUUUGUUACAUAUACUAAAAACCUAUUUGUGAAGUUUGUUAAUAAAAGGCUGCAAUCAACUCUUGUAAACACAGAUCUAACUCGUUAUAACCCUAAAUUCAGCAUUUUUAUUCUUUUUCUUUUGUUCUUCAGGGUGAAAUUCAGGUUUAGAAUGUCAGAAUCCACCAAACGAAGCAAUAAUGACGUUUAUUACUGUAUAUCAUGGUCUGCAGGUUAACACUUUACAUCUGUACAUAAACUUUGAUGGGAAUGUUUUAAAAUGAGGCUUUUUGUUUUGUUUUUUAUGUCCAUUGCUUCAAGCUGGAUGUUGUUUUUUCCUCCUUAUUUUCAUGGCUUGUAAAUCCCUCUGUAUAUAUUCCCCUUUUUGUAAAGAAAAGAUUUUAGCAGCGUCUCUGCUGCUGACAACAUGAAGGUGGACUCUGUGAUGUGUUCCUCCGUCAGUCUCUGAAAUGAAUUCAUAUUCAAUAAGAACCCCAGCUGCUGGCUACAGUGUGAAGAGCUUAGUGAUUUGUAGUUACAUGCGUAAGUAUGAAAAAUUCAACGUUAUAAUACUGAAUCAAAUCAAAUGAUUAUACAAUGUUUCAGAUCAUUAAACAGUGUUUAAUACCAGACAAAGAUUAUCGGAGUAAACCCAAAAGUUUGUUUUCAGACAGUUUCACUAAGAGGAAAAAGCAGGGCUGCACCAAUUUCUAUUUUCUGGUCGAUCGCCGAUCACCAAUCUUUAAAAAGCCCGACUUGCUGAUUCUGAUGUUGGCCAAUACCAAUUUUUUGUCUGAAAUGUUGCCAAAUAUUGCAAGAAAGUCACUGAGUUGGCAACAGUGGACAACUCAGACAUGACCUGGUGAGUCUGUCAGGUCAUGGAAUGUGAGCAAACAUUUUUAGACCUUUGCUGAGGAAGAUAAGAUAAUUUGAUAAAAUCAGCUUCACAUGCAAGAACCGACCAAUCAUCGAUCUCCCAAAACUAAGGAAAUCAGUGCCGAUAAAUUGGUGCACCCUACAAAUAAGCGAUCCAAACCAGCCUGGCCCUCUAGGAAAUGAGGAUCGUCCCCUUAUAAAAUCAUUAACUAACUGAUUAACUACAUUUUUUCUGUGUUGAAAAGCAACAACUGUUUAAAAAGCUUAUAUUAGCUUGUGGGAAAAUUCAUUAAAACCUCAGGUUGCAAAUGUGGUUUAAAUAAGUUAAAGGAACACAAAAAAGCACAGGUGAGCUAGAGGUCACUUCUGUCAGGAGUGGCACAUCCAGGGCUGGACUGGGACCGAGAAGCAGCCCUGCAUACGAAUGAUACACAACAUACCAGAGAAUAUAAUGUACACACUGUGUUGUUUCAAAAAUGUAAAUAAAGAGCAGCAUCCUAGAUGGAAGAAAGUAA